rnacentral:rRNA from 1 species
UUGAUGCACGUUGUAUUUCUGAAGUUAGGGUCUCUGAGAAACGAUGCUUAAGUCUUCUGGAAAGGAGCGCCAUGGAGGGUGAUAGUCCCCGUCUAGCAUAUGACCUCAUAUAGGAUCUUAACAUGGAGUACGAGUUGUUUGGGAAUGCAGCUCAAAUGGGUGGUAUGCUCCAUCUGAGCUAAAUAUCUGCGAGAGACCGAUAGUAAAAGAAGUA